rnacentral:misc_RNA from 1 species
CAUGCAUUAAUGUAUUUCAGAGGAAGUGGAAUCAAGACUGAAAAUGGGAAGAAUAAUGGGAUCGAUUGAUAUCUGAGAAACCUGGAAACAGGGCGGGUUGGAGAUACAGUAGGUUUAGAUAAAGGAGAGGAGAGGAUAACGAAGGAGAUCUUUCAUUUUCCCAUUCAGUUUUGUUUCUACGAGAAAAUGGCUGUCAUAUCUCUGAGAAAGUCGACUUGUCAGUUGUUCCAGCAGGGCGGAGCAAGGUUUGAUCCGCUCCGAGUUCUUAGCUCAAGGUUCGAGUCAACAGAACCAAACUUUGGUAUUAUGUUCGACAUUGACGGAGUAAUUGUUCGAGGACGAACCGUUCUACCGUUUGCUCCAGAGGCCUUCAGUAAACUUUUUGAUCAGAAAACUCAACAAUUCAAGAUUCCCUCUGUUUUUGUGACGAACGCCGGGAACUCCAUCCGGCAGGAGAAGGCAGAUAAACUCUCAGAGUGGUUGAAUAUACCUAUAACAGAGGACCAGGUAGUUAUGGCACACUCCCCUCUGAGAAUGUUUAAUGAGUUCCACAACAAACAUGUUCUUGUAACAGGACAGGGACCAGUUGAGUUCAUUGCUCGAAAUCUUGGAUUUAAAAAGGUGACAACGAUGGAUCAACUCCGCCAUGCUUUCCCUGCUCUAGACGCCGUAGAUCAUAAACGUAGACGCGCAGCAGCUUGCGCUUUCGAGAAAUAUUUCCCUAGAAUAGAAGCUGUAGUUCUCUUCGGGGAGCCGGUCAGGUGGGAGACAUCACUCCAGCUUCUCAUAGAUGUUCUUCUCUCUGACGGUCAACCAUCCGCAGCUCCAGAAAAAAUCGUCUACCCUCAUCUACCCAUCCUGGCCUGCAACAUGGAUCUCCAGUGGAUGGCCGAGGCCGUAAUGCCGAGGUUUGGACACGGAGCAUUUCUUCUCUGUUUAGAAAAUUUAUAUAAAAAGGUAACUGGGCAUGAAUUGGUGUACACAGCGUUAGUUGGAAAACCAAGUGAAAUCACAUACAGGCACAGUGAGCACGUUCUGCAGGAGCAAGCGUUGAAAAUAGGAUUAAAGAAGCCGGUUCGGCAUAUUUAUUGUAUCGGAGACAACAUCUGUACAGAUAUAUUCGGAGCUAAUCUAUACAAUAAAUAUCUACAGAGAGCUAGGGAUACAGAGAUUAUAUCUCAGGUUCAAGCUCAGAAUAUUGGUCACAACUCCCGUAGUAUAGACAACCUUCUGGGUACAGAGGGAGAACUCAAGGGAGCAACCUCGUGCUAUUCAAUCCUAGUGGAGACAGGCGUAUUCUCCCGAACCGGGGGAUCUAAUGUAAGUUUGGAUCAUUCUCCUCGAGAUUUCUUGCCAGUAGAAAACAGCUACCAGGAGCCAACCUUCUCUACUGAAAACGUCCUUGGAGCCGUUGAUCUCAUCUUUGAGAUGGAAAAUUACAAGAAAAAUGAUCAAUAAGCUGUUCUCCCGUCCUUCUCCUCAAUACAUAGUGAAGUGAAAACCUAGAACCUUAUAAAUAUUAGACUUGUGUUUCUAGCUUCUAUUAGGAUUCAGACAAAAAAGAUAAAAUCUACAGCUGAUUAAAUGAAUAUAUGUUAAAGGGUCUGCUGACGUAAUUUCAAUAUGAACUGAUACAAUACUCUAAUUUAUCCUUCAACAUUAUAUUCAUAAUUUUAUGUAUUUGAUUUGUUUAUCGGAUAUACUGCUCUUAACUCCCAUAGUAUAAGUUAUUAUAGGAUCUAAAAAUCGAAUUCACAAAACUCUAGAUUUUGAAACAUACAUCACCCAACCAGGGCGGAUUUAUAAUCCAGGUUAAAUCAAUUCUAUAAACUA